AGCGAACGCUGGCGGCAGGCCUAACACAUGCAAGUCGAACGAACCUUUCGGGGUUAGUGGCGGACGGGUGAGUAACACGUGGGAACGUGCCUUUAGGUUCGGAAUAACUCAGGGAAACUUGUGCUAAUACCGAAUGUGCCCUUCGGGGGAAAGAUUUAUCGCCUUUAGUGCGGCCCGCGUCUGAUUAGCUAGUUGGUUGAGGUAAUGGCUCACCAAGGCGACGAUCAGUAGCUGGUCUGAGAGGAUGAUCAGCCACAUUGGGACUGAGACACGGCCCAAACUCCUACGGGAGGCAGCAGUGGGGAAUCUUGCGCAAUGGGCGAAAGCCUGACGCAGCCAUGCCGCGUGAAUGAUGAAGGUCUUAGGAUUGUAAAAUUCUUUAACCGGGGACGAUAAUGACGGUACCCGGAGAAGAAGCCCCGGCUAACUUCGUG
rnacentral:rRNA from 1 species